rnacentral:sRNA from 1 species
UCUUGGUCAUUUAGAGGAAGUAAAAGUCGUAACAAGGUUUCCGUAGGUGAACCUGCGGAAGGAUCAUUAUCGAAAUAAAAUCUGAACAGGCUGUUGCUGGUCGGAAGACAUGUGCACGCUUGUCCUCUUUAUUUUUUCCAACUAUGCACAUAUUGUAGACCUGUGAUGUUGUUUUCUUGAUGAGAGAGAAUGGCCAGGUCUAUGUUACAUUUUAACAAUGCGUUUUAGAAUGUCGGGUACUGGGGAUAUAACAAAUAUACAACUUUCAGCAACGGAUCUCUUGGCUCUCGCAUCGAUGAAGAACGCAGCGAAAUGCGAUAAGUAAUGUGAAUUGCAGAAUUCAGUGAAUCAUCGAAUCUUUGAACGCAUCUUGCGCUCCUUGGUAUUCCAAGGAGCAUGCCUGUUUGAGUGUCAUCAAGUUCUCAACCAUACCUUGGUGUGGCUUGGAUCUGGGGGUUUUGCAGGCUUCAAAGAAGGUCGGCUCCCCUGAAAAGCAUUAGAAGUGUCUGAGUACCUUUGGUGUCCCUCUGUGUUAUUGGGUGAAAAGGCGAUCCAAAAUGCGCGGGGUUUUUUGUUCUUUGGGGGGUAGUACGCUUAUCAAU